CAUAUAGUCCCUCCGUCCGAAAUUACUUGUCAUCAAAAUGGAUAAAAAUGGAUGUAUCUAGAACUAAAAAACAUCUAGAUACAUCCAUUUCAAUGACAAGUAUUUCCGGACGGAAGGAGUACUAU
rnacentral:pre_miRNA from 1 species